rnacentral:rRNA from 1 species
GAUGAGCGCUGGCGGCGUGCCUAAGGUAUGCAAGUCGAAUGUCGAUUUAUCGGCAUGGCGAACGGCUGAGUAACGCGUUGGAAUCUCCCCUCUAGUCAAGGAUAACCACUCGAAAGGGUGAACAAUCCUGGAUGUAGUCUUCGGACUAAAGGCUUCGGUCGCUAGAGGAUGAGCCUGCGUCCUAUCAGGUUGUUGGUGGGGUAAUGGCCUACCAAGCCUAUGACGGGUAACUGGUCUGAGAGGAUGAUCAGUCAGACUGGGACUGCGACACGGCCCAGACUCCUACGGGAGGCAGCAAUUAGGAAUCUUGCACAAUGGACGAAAGUCUGAUGCAGCGACGCCGCGUGGAGGAUGAAGGUUUUCGGAUCGUAAACUCCUUUUGCUGGGGAACAAGUUCUGAGUGUACCCAGAGAAUAAGCACCUUCCAACUACGUGCCAGAAGAAUCGGUGAUACGUAGGGUGCAAGCGCUAUCCGGAAUUACUGGGCGUAAAGAGAGCGUAGGCGUCAUGGUAAGUCUAUAGUGAAAUCUUCUAGCUCAACUAGAAAGCCAUUAUAGAAACUAUCAUGAUUGAGGCAGAUAGGGGAGAGGGGAAUUCCUGGUGGAGCGGUGAAAUGCGUUGAUAUCAGGAGGAAUACCGAUGGCGAAGGCACCUCUCUGGGUCUAGCCUGACGCUGAGGCUCGAAAGCGUGGGGAGCAAAACGGAUUAGAUACCCGUGUAGUCCACGCCGUAAACGAUCCCUGCUAGAUUUCUGGUUGACACAAGGUAUCCUUCGGGAUAUUAAGUGUCGAUUGGGGGUCACAGCUAACGCAUUAAGCAGGGCGCCUGGGGAGUACGGCCGCAAGGCUAAAACUCAAAGGAAUUGACGGGGACCCGCACAAGCAGUGGAGCGUUUGGUUUAAUUCGAUGCUAAACGAAGAACCUUACCAGGGCUUGAACUGUAGCUGUGGUUUUGUAGAAAUAUGAAACGUCUUCGAGAUCGCUACAGAGGUGCUGCAUGGCUGUCGUCAGCUCGUGUCGUGAGAUGUAGGGUUAAGUCCCACAACGAGCGUAACCCCUAUCUGGUGUUACAAUUACUCCAGAGACUGCCUUGCCAAAACGAGGAGGAAGGUGGGGACGACGUCUAGUCAUCAUAGCCCUUACGUCCUGGGCUACACAAGCGCUACAAUGGUCAGUACAAUGGGUAGCCAAACAGCAAUGUGGAGCUAAUCCCGCAAAACUGAUCCCAGUUCAGAUUGUCGGCUGAAAUUCGCCGGCAUGAAGUCGGAAUUGCUAGUAAUCGUGAAUCAGCAAGUCGCGGUGAAUACGUUCUCGGGUCU